CAAGUUACCUAGCUGGCAUACGCGAUUAUGAAGGUGGUUCUCCCUAGGGCAUUUCACCAUUGCACUGUGGGUGUGUUUGACCCUGCAGUUCCCAAUAUGCCGGAAAACUUGACUGCAUAAUUUGUGGUAGUGGAGGACUGCGUGUGCGCUUUUCCCCA
rnacentral:snRNA from 1 species